rnacentral:tRNA from 1 species
GGCUCGGUGGUGUAGUUGGUUAUCACGUCAGUCUAACACACGUUAGCUCACUGAAGGUCCCGAGUUCAAACCUCGGCUGAGUCA